AGUGAACGCUGGCGGUAGGCCUAACACAUGCAAGUCGAACGGCAGCACAGUAAGAGCUUGCUCUUACGGGUGGCGCGUGGCGGACGGGUGAGGAAUACAUCGGAAUCUACUUUUUCGUGGGGGAUAACGUAGGGUAACUUACGCUAAUACCGCAUACGACCUACGGGUGAAAGCAGGGGAUCUUCGGACCUUGCGCGAUUGAAUGAGCCGAUGUGGGAUUAGCUAGUUGGCGGGGUAAAGGCCCACCAAGGCGACGAUCCGUAGCUGGUCUGAGAGGAUGAUCAGACACACUGGAAGUGAGACACGGUCCAGACUCCUACGGGAGGAAGCAGUGGGGAAUAUUGGACGAUGGAGGAAAGCCUGAUCCAGCCAUACCGCGUGAGUGAUGAAGGCCUUCGGGUUGUAAAGCCCUUUUGUUGGGAAAGAAAAGCAGCAGGUUAAUCCCCCGCUGUUCUGACGGUACCCAAAGAAUAAGCACCGGCUAACUUCGUG
rnacentral:rRNA from 1 species